AUGACAACCAACUGCCCCAUAGUUAGCUGGAACAUGCGCGGGCUCAAUAUGCCCGCGAAACGAGAUACUGUCUGUGAAGUAGUGGCGGCGCAUCGACCAGAGAUUCUUUGCCUUCAGGAAAUGAAGAUCGACAGCUAGUCGCCGGCCCUAGUCAGGGACGUAGGAGGGAGUAGGUUAGCCGACUACGUAGUUUUACCUGCGAUCGGCUCCAGGGGCGGGGUGGCCAUUCUGUGGGAUGGCCAGAUCGUCUCGAUCGUGUCCCAUGCCAUUGGGGAAUUCACCAUCACUUCAAAAGUCAACGUCCUCCGCUCGGCCACCGUGUUCUGGUUAACCGCAGUCUAUGGGCCGACGGAGGACGCUCGGAAGGACGCGUUCCUGCUCGAGUUGGCUAGAUCAGCCCCCCUCUAG
rnacentral:rRNA from 1 species